GCCUGCUUGGCCAAGUGGUUAAGGCGUCGGUCUUGUAAACCGAAGAUCGGUGGUUCAAAUCCGCCAGCGGGCA